rnacentral:rRNA from 1 species
AUGGACGGCGAUGGAGAUCCCCACGACGGGCAUCACCCUCAAAAUCCUGCCCCUUCUGACCCUCGACACCCCCAGCUUGAGGAGGAAGGUAAUCCCCUCCCUCAUGAAGCGCAGAAGGAAAUGGCAGCAGUGAGGAGAGCGAAUAAGGUAGCGCGGAAGAUACGGCGUCUGAGGGCCAAAGCUCUCGCGCGGGGGCAGGUAAAGCUACAGAAGGAGGAUCUGUCCCAAAUCACACCAGGAUCGUCCGUAGCCCUCGCCAUGGGAACCCAUGGCUACUCUGAAACUCCUCCUGACACUCAACACAGCGGGGAGCAAGCUCUGAAGCCCGGGCAAGUGCUUCGUACGGGAGUGUUGGUGGAAGCGCCUGACAAAAUCCCCUCUUCCGCCGGCACUGAUGUGUCAGCAGCACCCCCAAGACCACAUAUUCGCCAGAGCGUUUUGUACUCAGAUCGCCCAAGGCGAUCCAGGAAACCUACAUCAGAUAAGCUACCGGUUGAGGAGCAUGCCGGUGAGGUGAGCAGCAGGGAGUUUCAAGUCUCGACACAUCAUCAGUCACGCUCCACACGUGAGUCAACUUACAGGCCGCCUCACUCGGUCACGUGGAAGCCAGGAACUGGAACUAACGAAUAA